AUGCAAGUCGAGCGGGGGAAGGUAGCUUGCUACUGGACCUAGCGGCGGACGGGUGAGUAAUGCUUAGGAAUCUGCCUAUUAGUGGGGGACAACAUCUCGAAAGGGAUGCUAAUACCGCAUACGUCCUACGGGAGAAAGCAGGGGAUCUUCGGACCUUGCGCUAAUAGAUGAGCCUAAGUCGGAUUAGCUAGUUGGUGGGGUAAAGGCCUACCAAGGCGACGAUCUGUAGCGGGUCUGAGAGGAUGAUCCGCCACACUGGGACUGAGACACGGCCCAGACUCCUACGGGAGGCAGCAGUGGGGAAUAUUGGACAAUGGGGGGAACCCUGAUCCAGCCAUGCCGCGUGUGUGAAGAAGGCCUUAUGGUUGUAAAGCACUUUAAGCGAGGAGGAGGCUACUUUAGUUAAUACCUAGAGAUAGUGGACGUUACUCGCAGAAUAAGCACCGGCUAACUCUGUGCCAGCAGCCGCGGUAAUACAGAGGGUGCGAGCGUUAAUCGGAUUUACUGGGCGUAAAGCGUGCGUAGGCGGCUUAUUAAGUCGGAUGUGAAAUCCCC
rnacentral:rRNA from 1 species